rnacentral:rRNA from 1 species
UGAGGAAUAUUGGUCAAUGGGCGAGAGCCUGAACCAGCCAAGUAGCGUGCAGGAUGACGGCCCUAUGGGUUGUAAACUGCUUUUAUAAGGGAAUAAAGUUAGUCUCGUGAGACUUUUUGCAUGUACCUUAUGAAUAAGGACCGGCUAAUUCCGUGCCAGCAGCCGCGGUAAUACGGAAGGUCCGGGCGUUAUCCGGAUUUAUUGGGUUUAAAGGGAGCGUAGGCUGUCCUUUAAGCGUGUUGUGAAAUGUAGGCGCUCAACGCCUGCACUGCAGCGCGAAACUGAAGGACUUGAGUGUGCACGACGCUGGCGGAAUUCGUGGUGUAGCGGUGAAAAUGCUUAGAUAUCACG